CCUACGGGGGGCUGCAGUGGGGAAUAUUGGACAAUGGGGGGAACCCUGAUCCAGCCAUGCCGCGUGUGUGAAGAAGGCCCUCGGGUUGUAAAGCACUUUCAGUGAGGAAGAACGCCUGGUGGUUAAUACCCAUCAGGAAAGACAUCACUCACAGAAGAAGCACCGGCUAACUCCGUGCCAGCAGCCGCGGUAAUACGGAGGGUGCGAGCGUUAAUCGGAAUUACUGGGCGUAAAGCGCGCGUAGGUGGCUUGAUAAGCCGGUUGUGAAAGCCCCGGGCUCAACCUGGGAACGGCAUCCGGAACUGUCAAGCUAGAGUGCAGGAGAGGAAGGUAGAAUUCCCGGUGUAGCGGUGAAAUGCGUAGAAAUCGGGAGGAAUACCAGUGGCGAAGGCGGCCUUCUGGACUGACACUGACACUGAGGUGCGAAAGCGUGGGUAGCAAACAGGAUUAGAUACCCGAGUAGUC
rnacentral:rRNA from 1 species